CAUACCCGUGCCCUCCGCUGCAGUAGCAUACGUCGUGAGUGAAAGGGCCAAGGGCAGCCUAUUCCCACUGUCAGAGGAGGAGUGGACGUGUGUCGGCUGUAACAGUUUUCUCAUCGCCCAGGUGAUCUUGGACACUGAGUGAGGCUAGGCAAUGUUGGGCUGAUGGUAGCUGGUCAGGGUGCCGGCCCUGUGGGCAUGAUGAGGCGUGGGACUAUCCUGCAGAGCCAGCACUGUGGGGGGAACGGGACAGGGGCAGGGGGAGGGGGAGCAGACCGGGACCACUCUCUGAGAGGCAGCCCCCAGGCCCCCCACCGCCACCCUACGUAUGAUGCACAGAAGCAUUCCGAACGCCUGCGCUCCUCUCCACCACGGACAACACCACACGAAGUAGCCCCUCCCCUGGGUACAACCCUGGAUACGCAACGUCAGGCGACGUGGUGCUGUCGUCAGGAUACCAGUCCACGGAGGAGACAGAAAAGGUGAGCGAUGUCAGCUGUCAAUCAUAUUAGGGUAUUUUUUGGUUUGUGGUCAUGUUUUAUCUGGUAAUGGAUGUAAUACAAUCCUGUCCUACUCAGGUGUUCUUCAUCCAACAGGCCUGCUCUUAAAUAUGAGGCUUAAAGGGAUACUUCGGGAU
rnacentral:lncRNA from 8 species